UCCGUUUCUACAGGAAGAUACCUGUCUUCUUGUGACCAUCGGGCUUGGCAGCUGAUCCUAACCACUUGAUACCCCGGAUGAGGGGAGAUAUGCGCAUUUUCUUCAUUUAUAAGUUUAAAGAAAUAUGUCAAGAGCUGUUAGGAGAAAGAGACCUAAUAAAUCCUCCUGGCAGCAUCGGAAGAAAUGAGCACGGAAAACGGGAACAUCAAGUAUUAAACAGCUGCCUCCCUGUCCGAAGAUCAAUGUAUUAUUAGAUCCAGCCAAAUGCAUCAGCAGCCUCAAUCUCUUCCCCUGUCCUAAUGGUUUGUUACAAUGUAUCAGUGCAGGUAAAUGAAUCAGUCGAGUGGCCAAAUUGUGUUCUUUACAGGAGAUGGUCUGCACUGGGUGAAAUGGUAAUAAAAGCUUCAGCUGUGA